rnacentral:rRNA from 1 species
GGGGAAUCUUGCGCAAUGCGCGAAAGCGUGACGCAGCAACGCCGCGUGGAGGAAGACGGCCUUCGGGUUGUAAACUCCUUUCAGUUGGGACGAAGCUUCGGCGGUGAAUAGCCGUUCGGAGUGACGGUACCUUCAGAAGAAGCCCCGGCUAACUACGUGCCAGCAGCCGCGGUAAUACGUAGGGGGCGAGCGUUGUCCGGAAUCAUUGGGCGUAAAGCGCGUGUAGGCGGCUCGGUAAGUCUGCUGUGAAAGUCCAGGGCUCAACCCUGGAAUGCCGGUGGAAACUGCCGAGCUCGAGUCCGGAAGAGGCGAGUGGAAUUCCUGGUGUAGCGGUGAAAUGCGCAGAUAUCAGGAGGAACACCGAUGGCGAAGGCAGCUCGCUGGGACGUGACUGACGCUGAGACGCGAAAGCGUGGGGAGCAAAC